rnacentral:misc_RNA from 1 species
UGCGCGGCGGCGUCUUGUUCAGUUCAAGCGCCAUCGCGCUGAUCAGCGGCUUCAUGAAGAAGGAGUCGUUGGCGGGAUAGAUGUCGGUGGGCAGGCCAUAGGCCUUCAGUUCAUCUGACACCACAGGACCGACCGAGGCCACCGGCGUCUGCGCCAGCCCGGCACGCAAUUGGUCCUCGCAUCCAUGCGCGCGCGCCACGUCGAUCAGCCGGCGAACCUGACCCGAACUGGUCAGCGCGAG